GGAAAAAUCUAUAAAUCGUCGAAAGUAGGGUGCACAUGCCAAGCUGCCCCAAAAAUUAAGAUCAGUGUGCCGAAAAGCCGAAAAAUCAGUGAUUCUCCAAAGAUAAACCCGGUUUCAAGCCCCAAAAGGGGUCUGAGCUUUGCCAAUCGAUCUCGGUUUCUCCAGUGUAAUUCAAUAUUGACGAAAGUUAUCCAACGGAGGUCGAACUUCUGCCGCACAACGGAAAUUUGCGAUCAACAUUAUUUUGACCUUGGCAGAGGGCAUACAGUUGCCUCUGGAAUUCUAUGUCGUGGCCUGGAUAGGCACAGACAUAUCCAUAUCGGAUGUUCUUCAAGGAAAAUGAUUGACACGCACACACACACACACUGAAUUCAACCGAAACAUCAAUGCAUGCAGGCCUGUUGCAGCGAUGGAAAACCAAAU